AGCAGUCGCCACGGUAAUCCGUAGGUGGCAAGCGUUGUCCGGAAUUAUUGGGCGUAAAGCGCGCGCAGGCGGAUAGGUCAGUCUGUCUUAAAAGUUCGGGGCUUAACCCCGUGAUGGGAUGGAAACUGCCAAUCUAGAGUAUCGGAGAGGAAAGUGGAAUUCCUAGUGUAGCGGUGAAAUGCGUAGAUAUUAGGAAGAACACCAGUGGCGAAGGCGACUUUCUGGACGAAAACUGACGCUGAGGCGCGAAAGCCAGGGGAGCGAACGGGAUUAGAUACCCGUGUAGUCCCUGUCUCUUAUACC
rnacentral:rRNA from 1 species